AAAAAGGUGUUAUUUAUUUCAUGGUUUUUGAUGAAUAGAAAUUUGACAGAAUUGACAGAAUUGACAGCUGCCGUAUCGUACGGCACAUGAGCUGAUUUGGCGAGCCACGGCCCGCGAGCACGCGUCUUGGCCGUUGGACUUUCGGCGUUCGGCGUUCGGCGUUGGAUUUUCGACUUUCGGCGUUGGACGUUCGGCGACGUGAACCUAUCGUACCGUAUGUGAACGCGCCUUUAGGGACAAAGUCGCUUUGCUUGUGUGCGUGCGAGCGUACGUACGUAGGUGAGUGUGAACGUGAAUGUGGAGAAGAAUGAAAGCGAGAAUUUUAGCAUACGAUUAGGAUAUGGGAGGAUGGAGCGCAGCAAUUGUUUUGGAAGUGGUCGGAAUGGAAAGGUCGCAUGGACGUUACAGUUAAUUACGUUAUAGUUAAUAUAAGUAUGGUUAGAUUUGUGAUUAGGUGUUUAGGUGUUUAGUUGGUGAGAAGAUAUGGUAAGGAAAAGUUGAUGGGACAUGAAUUAGAGGGGAAAUUGCGGAUAAGCUAGUUAGGUAGGUAGGUAGGUAGCGCGCGACGCGUACUGCGUGGCUCCGAUUGGUCGGAAGGUGGUGGUUUACGUACCGGGCGUGGCGACGCUACCGCGUGGCUGGAUUAGUGUGGAUGAGGCGUUGGAAAUGAUAGUUGGCUGAUAAAGACGGAUCUUUAUUCUACGGAGAAGGUGUAGGGGUAGGGAUAUUUAAAUAUGCCUUAAGGCAUGACCUUUGGAAAGAAUGGAAUGAAUUUAGGUAGAAUGAAUAAUUUGGAUGAAAUUGAAAGGCGUUGCAGGAACAUGUUUGCGUUUUGGAAAUAAGUAAAAUGGUAGGGUGGAUUUGGAAGUGGUGGAAGUGAGUGGGUAAUGGAAAAAAUGGAAAAGAUGUAAAAAAUGGUAAUGAUGUUGGAUGGUGUAUUCGGUUUUGAAAAUGAUAAAGAUUGGUAUUUGUAAGAGUUAUUGAUUGGAAUAUGAUGGGAAGAAUAUGAGGUUAAUUAGUAGAAAUUAGGGAAAUUUGAUGAAAGGAAGGAAUUAGCGUGGCUUGACCCUCUGGUUGGACAGAUGGUACAGGUGCUGCUGAGGAGGAUAGGAGGAUAGGAGGAUAGGAGGAUAGGAGGAUAGGAGGAUAGGAGGAUAGGAGGAUAGGAGGAUCCCGUUGGUAAGAGGGAUUGACCUUACGUUUGCCUUAGGUAAAAAGGACGAUGGAGUAAAAAGAGACGGUGUGGAAUAAUAUAAAUAUAAAUAUAAAUAUAAAUAUAAAUAAAAAUAAAAAUAUGAGGGUGAAAUGGACGUUGGUGGUUGAGCGGAAAAUGGAGCGGAGAAUGGAAGCGUAUCGGUGGGCUGGAAGACACUUGGUACGGCGGUUGCGUGCGUACGUACGUGGAGAGGCAGAGGCAGAGGCAGAGGCAGAGGCAGAGGCAGAGGCAGAGGCAGAGGCAGAGGCAGAGGCAGAGGCAGAGGCAGAGGCAGAGGCGAGACGGUGGGGCGCCGUUGGUCGAGCUGACGGAGCGACGUAACAGGGACGUAAGAAUAAAAAUAGUUGUAAAAUUGGUGGAUAUUGGAUAUUUUUUUUAUUUUUUUUUUUAGUGGACAUGGACAUGGACAUGGACAUGGACAUGAUAGAGAUGUACUGCACUGGUGAUAGACGGACCGGCGGAGAUGCUGUCGGUAUAUCCGUGUAUCCGUGUAUCCGUGUUAAGGCAUUAAGAAGGGAAAUGCGCGCGCGAUGGUAAGGAAAGAAAAGCAGGAAAGCAGGAAAGAGGAGAAAAUGAGAGGAAGGGAAGGGAAGGGAAGGGAAGGGAAGGGAGAGAAAAUGGGAAAAUAAUGGAUUUAACGUGGUGGUAACCGGGAUGAAUGCCGUCCGUACUAACGAUAUAAAUAGGCGCAGUACUAAGAAGGAAAAAGAAAAAAAAAAAAAAAAUGAAAGAGGGGAAAAAUGAAGUUUGUUUUCUUGGUGGUAAAAAAAAAGGCUGCGAUAGUAACGAUUAGAAAGAUAGGCGGUGCUGACCCGGAAAAAGUGGAAAAAUUGAGGGAAGGAAGAGAAAAAUAGAAAUUUGCUUGGUUCGUGCGCCGCAGGCUGAUGGGCGUGAAAAAAGCCUGCAGUACGGACUAGAUGGAAAAAAAAAAAAAAAAAAAAAAGAGGAAAUGGUGUGGCAGGGAUUGCGAUAUGGGAGCAGGUAGAUGGAACGAGGAUAGAGAUAGCCUAUGUACGUUUAUUCGGAGUAUGAAGAAGCGACGAGUAUGGAGGACUACCGAUCGCUGACACGUUACCGAAAUGCCCCCUGCAUACAGGCCGUAUUGUGAGUGUGGAGCGUGAAGAAGAAUGUAGAAUAGAUUGGAUAGCGAGGAAAGAAGAGGAUGGUGGAGAGUGGAGAGUGGAGAGUGGAGAGUGGAGAGGAAGUUUUGGCUGAAGCGUUAUGGAAUGCGGGAGACGGACUGGGCGAAGAGGCGCUUAAGCUAAGGAGCGGGAAUGGCCGUGAUGCUUAUUGCCGCAUUGGACCUAUUGGCUGUUUGCGUGAUAUUUGCAUUGGUUGGUGCGAUGUGGCAAUGGCGACACAGCGACAUUGCAUGGGAGACGUGGCUGGAAGUACGAUGGAGGUUUAAUAGAAGCCGUGACUGUAAAAUAUUAGCCAGGUGUUAUUAGAAGAGGAUAUUGAUUGGAUGAUCGUUGUAAGGUUGAAUUGGAAUAGGAAUAGGAAUAGGAAUAGGAAUAGGAAUAGGAAUAAAAUAUAGAUUUAUUGCUACUCGUAAGGUUUAGUUAACCGGUUGAGGGUGAGGAAUGGAAGGGAGUAGGAGGAAUUUUGGAAAUUAGUAAAGGAAGAGACGAUGGUAAGGUAAGAUGAUGAAGAGAUGAUGGUUUGGUAUUGCAUGGAAUUAAGCAGGCGGUUAACAAUAUAGUGAGAGGUAAUGAUAAAAGAGAAAAGAGAAGAGAAAAGAGAAAAGAGAAAAGAGAAAAGAAGAAAGAAAAAGGAAAAUGCAGAAAAUGCAGGAAAUGAAGAGAAAAAAUGUAAAUUUUGCUUGGUUUAAGCGCCGCAGGCCGAUGAGCCGAAAAAAAGCGUGGUUUAUUAUAUUAUAGUUUAUUGUUAUAUUUAACCACUGGAAAAUUGAGGGAAGAAAAAAAAAAAAAAAAAAAAAAUAGAAAUUUGCUCGGUUUGAGCACCGCAGGCCGAUAAUCGGAAAAAAGCCUAGUGUAUUAGCCAUAAAAAAAAAA